rnacentral:rRNA from 1 species
UACGUAGGGGGCUAGCGUUGUCCGGAUUAUUGGGUUUAAAGGGUGCGUAGGCGGCCCGGUAAGUCAGUGGUGAAAGCCUCCAGCUCAACUGGAGAACUGCCAUUGAUACUGCCGGGCUUGAGUACAGACGAGGUUGGCGGAAUUGAUUGUGUAGCGGUGAAAUGCAUAGAUACAAUCAAGAACUCCGAUUGCGUAGGCAGCUAACUAGGCUGUAACUGACGCUGAGGCACGAAAGCGUGGGGAGCGAACAGG